rnacentral:tRNA from 1 species
UAGUAGGUGGUUUAGUGGUAAGAAUUUAAGACUAAGAAAUUUGUUCUCUCUGUGGUCUCAGGUUCGAGCCUUGUAAUUGCUAA